CCCCGCCCUGGCUUAGGGCUGCCUGGAAACAGAAGGGAAAGAUGGAGAGUGGGGCCAAGGACCCGGCUCUGGAUCCUAGUACCUGAACCUUCUUCAGGUUGCUUCAGGGAUGGAUUUAACAUCCCAUAGCUUCAAGAUGAGUCGGACUCUGUCAAAGACAUCCAGUUUCCCACCUCAGACAGGUGAACAGAAAGAAUCAGAUCCAACACAACAAAUCUUCACACACAAGGCUACUGAAGACUUCUACCACCAAAACAGCUCCCCUGUGCUUUCUGGACAGCUGUUAUCAGACAUAUGCAUGCAGCCCCAUCCAACCUCAAUCAUUCUAAGGGAGCAUUACCAGAAAAAAACUAAACCAUUCUGACGAAAUUCACUGCAAAUAAGGAUAAGCUCUUCUUCACUCCUUCAUAUAAGUUCUGGGUCUAUUCCAAUGAAGGUCACUCAGAGUUCUAAAUGGCCAAGAAGUCAUUACAGUCCAAUUACUCUGCCUCAACAACCCUGGACAGAAUGGGGGGCCAGGCUCAGAACUCAAGGAAACCCAAUGUCAGGACUUCUCUAGCCUACCCUCUUCUGCAUGGGUAAGGCAUACUUUCUCAAGUCAAUCAAGAGACAUUCAGAGUUGGAGCCAGUGUGUCUAGUGUCUGACUCUACAUUCUAUAUUUAGCCAGUGCUUCCAGCAGGUGCUGUACAAACAGGUAACAUACACACAACAUGCAUGCUGGGCAAAGCUCUGGGCAUCCCUUACAAAUCUGUUGGAAAAAAAAAAUUACAAAGAUUCCACAGCAAGGCCUCACCUCUAAGUGAGCGACAGCAGCAGAAACAGGUCUGUAUGCACAUGCAUGAAAUGCUCUACAAAGGUAUCAGAAUGGUUUCAAGCACCAUGUAUUCCAGAAGCUUCCACAUGUAGAAAACCUCUCCAGGCACACAUGAUAAUUGGCUGACUUCCCAGCUAAGAAGUAUAAGCCAGCUCUCCCAAGAACUCCAAGAAGUUAAAAAAAAUCAGAGAAUAGGAGAAUAUGGACAGUCUGAGAUUUCCUUCUACUCUCACACAUAUAGAGAAGCGAAGGACCUAAGGGAUCAAAGUACACUGUCCACUUCUCCACUCCUACCCCCCACCCACUGGUCAGGUCCCAGGGAAAUAACAGCUAGAGUCAGAGGAGGUGGGUGGGAGACUCCAAGUAAGCAGGUACAAGCAGUCAGGUCUUGGCAGGAUUCUGCCUGGCUCAGUUUCAUCAAUGACAGGCUAGUGCCACCUACCCGCACAGGGUUGCAUGAGGACCAAGUGAGCCAGCAAAUUUGAAAAGAACCAUGUACGAGUGAUAUGAUGGUUACUAAUCAAUUCCUUCCCCUCCCGCCUGCGUCCUAGCCCAAAUCCCUGUCACUAUACUAUACUAAGGGAGGGAGGGACAAGCUCACAGUAAUUGUUAAUCCCAGGUAAAUGCCUGGUGAAGUGGCAAGCAGACAGUGUCUUGGAGAAAUGUGGCUAUUUUUAUAAUUCUGCAUCCUGUUCAGUAGAUUGCACAACGUGCCCCUUAGCUCCAGGGGUUCUUACCCACAGCGCCUUGGAGACAUGGUUAAUGUCUGUCUGGGACUGAGGCUGCCGUGCAGCAGCUAGGCCAGAGUCCCAAACACUCCCGGCUGCUGUUCGCUGUGCCUGGGGCCCUGGGCCUGCCUUCAUGUGUUUUAUUUUAGCUCUUUUUAAGAAUAAUUCAAGAUUUAAAAACCAAAAAGGAACUGGCAGUUCUGAGAUCUUCAUUUCUUAGUUUUGUUAUUACCUUUUCUUUAUCUCUCUCUCUUUUUUAAAAAUUUAGUUUUUAAUAGAGGGCCUUAAACAACCACAUGAGAAAAAUAAAGCUAAAAUACCAAGGAAAACCUCUUGACACAGGGGGAGGAGCCUGGAACAGAUACCCUCCCCGAGUGCACAGCCCCAUGCCACCUAGGACUCAGGGACAAACAGGACCCAGCAUCUCCCCUGUAGAAUGGUCUCUUAAGCCAGCCCUGCUGGGCACAGCAAGCCCCACCAGAAGCUCCCUCGUCCCCCUUCUCCCGCAAGCCUCUUGGCAGCAGCCCUGUCAAUCCUCUGUCACGGGGGAGGGGGGGGACAUGGAUGGGACUGCAUCAACCACCUUGACUCCAUCUCUAGCCCUUCCCUCCUCCUGGAAAGUCCUUCAAACCCUAUCUCCACCCACCCAUGCUAAUUCAUGCCAGCAGCGCCUCUUUGUAAUGAGGAUUCUGACUGCUAUCAGGUCUUCAAGAUCCCUUCUCCCCCUUCUUUCUUUCAUGGUGACUCAGGUCUCCAUUUCCUGAUCCCGAGUUUCUGACUAAGCAAUACCUCUAUGAGAAUCCAGGAAAGGACCUGUGGUAAAAGAGUUGGAAUCUCUGCUUUAACACCCUCACGUAAGGAAUCUGAGCCGCCCGCCCCCCCCCAAUUGGGUAAAGUGAAUGAGUUCUGUCAACCAAGCCAGGACCAGAAUACAGGUCUGCUAACUCCUCUGCACCAAGCAGUGUAAACCCCAUUUCCCCUGACCUGCCUCUUUCCCAAGCUCCCCAUCACUCUACCUCAUCCCUGGCAACUUCAGACCCCUGGCAGCAGACGGCAGCUUCCUUGGUCUGGGUUGGCCAGGCACCCAAAGAUGGGCCAAGGAGAGGAAGCCCAGAGUUUGAUUUACGGUGGGCCCAGCAGCUGCUUCUCCCAAGUGACCAAGGCCUGAGCCUAGGGGAUGCAUGCCCUGCACACAUGCCCUUCAACCUACCUCAGUGUCUCAAGACAAAGCAAACCCGGGCAAUCUAACACAAGGCGACUUCUCCCCUCCCAGCGCCUGUCCCUUGCUGGUCACGAUCAUCAGCUCCAGGAACCAUGCGUCCUGGCAGAGGGGCUGUGCCUCCUGCAGGCACAUAUUUGACCAGUGACUCGGCAAAGACCUGACCCAAAUGUUCCCUGUGCUGCAUGGACAAGAGAGGCACGAUGACCAGGCUGAGACACAAAAGCCAGCUGGCCCCGGAGAGGAUGGGAGACAGAAAGCCAGGGAUGGCCGUGGCAAAUGGAAAAACCUCAUUCACUGGUGACGUCUACUCCCACCUGGACUCCUAAUUCAUUACAUGUUCCUGUUAGCUAUGGGGGCCUUGGGAGGAUGUUUCUAUUGGGAAGAAAAGGGAUUAGUGUCUCUAUCAAUCUCAAUCUCCGGAGGAAAGUUCAACCAGCAUGGCUUCCCAGGAAGCUGAGGUCCUUCCGUCUUUCCAUCCCUUCCUAUCAUCGGGACCCCCUUAUUGCGUGUGCUGCCCUUUUCCUUCACCCUCACACAAUCUCCAUAUUUUGCAUACAUUUUUAAAUUUUUAAAUAUAUUUUUAAAUUUUUUAACUAAUGAUCUCUCUCCCCACUAGAAUGCAUGCUCUCCAGGAAUAAAAACUUGGUUUGUUGACUCUGCAACCCAGCACCUAGUACAGCCCCAGCAUCUAGGAGACGCUCCAUACACAUUUGGUAAGGAACGUAUUUGCCUUGCUCAGUCCUGCUGGUCCCUGGGUACCAAAGGGUGUCUGCGUCUGCCUGACCUCUCCAAAAAGGAACAUACAGAGCCACCCCUGGGGAGGGUCCUUGGGUGACUGCCUUUCACUCUGGUUCAUAUUCGUUCUCUGAGGGUCUUCGCUCACAGAAAUAUUUGACUCUGGAAAACCAGGGUGAGGAGAAACUACAGGUUUUGGAAUCAGAAGUGCUGGAUUUAAAUCUAAACAACCCCACUCACCAAAUGUGUGAGCUUGGUUAAGUCACUUAAUCACAGUUCCUUUAACUGUAAAAGGGAAAUAAUGCCUACAUCACAUGGUUGUUGUGAAGAUGAAAUCAGAUAAGCAAAGGGCCCUUAACAAAGGUCAGUUUCCUUUCCCUGGAUGGUAGGCAGGAACUGAGAACUCGGAUGCAUCUCAUACCUUCAUGCCUUGUGACGGACCCAACCUGGUACCACACCAUCCAUGGCGCCAGGCGUUCAAUAUGGGAACCCUUCAUAGGGAACACACAUCUGUCCUGGGCCAUGGCAGGCACUUCUGGAUGAGCACUGGACUUGUCCUCCACAUCUUUCUGGUCCUGCUCUUGUGAUACAACAGUGUACAGCCACCGCGCCAUGAGGCUGUCUCCAUCCCUGUGCUGGCACUCCACCCACCCCACACAAGCUUCACACUGCAGCACCAGGCUCUGCAGAGACCAUGAGGCCCUGGGGGUGUUCUCUGGCUCGAUCAGCCCAUGAACAGCUCCGGUAGAAGGAGCCAGCAGGGAGCCAAACCCAGUCUAUGCUUUCCUCACAGCCACUGCAAGUCCCAGAAAAGCAAAGCAAAACGAGUGCCUCCCACAGACAGCCGGCUGGUGGAAAAGGGUGGUAUCUCUUACAUAUCUCAGAGGGAAGCCACACAUCCAAAAAAAGUGACCAGUACAAGGUACAGUUCCUCUCUAAAGCUGUGGCUGCAGCUUCAGGGGCACUCAAGCCAGGGGACAGAGCCAACAUAUGCAUUAAACAAUUCACAGCCCUGACAGGACUAGGAGUCAAUGGAAUAGAGAAGGUGCUGACCAAUCAGGGGCCUUGGCAGGGUCCCGCCCGCACAACUCCCAGCCAAGCCACGCCACCUCCGCUCCAGUGCUCUGUUAACCUCUGCUGGAUCCCGGAUGCAAGGGCCCCUGCCUCCUAGCUCUCAGACCUCAGGGACUCAAAGGUCAAGAAAAAGUGCCUCUCUCUCAAGGGGUGCCACUUGUUCUGCUUAUGUGACUGGCAACACACAACGCCCUCCAUCAUGGGAGCAGAAGGCAGCCAGGCUGGUAAACAGGAAGCCAAGCAUUAGAUGAGAGAUCGAAGUAGGGAAAUGAGCUGGGAAGCACCGACCCCAAUUCACCAAGACAACAACGGGAGCAAAACCAACCCUGGUUUUCCCAGUCAAGCAAGGGCAGGGCUGUGAAUGGGGGCAGAGGUCACCCAGAGCCAGGCCUGGGGACACGCUGCGCAUGUGCAAGCAGAGUCUCCCAGGCACAGCCAGCAGGUAUGUCUGGCCCCAGUCUUAACGCUAGUCAGACUCUAGACUACACAUCUUGAGGGACUAGCUCACCCUCCUCUCCUCCCUGGCUGCACAGAGCCUCUUCACUUGUGCUCCAGCCCCAAUACACCCAGUCAUCUCACAACGCUA